rnacentral:rRNA from 1 species
UACGUAGGGUGCGAGCGUUGUCCGGAUUUAUUGGGCGUAAAGAGCUCGUAGGUGGUUUGUCGCGUUGUCCGUGAAAACUCACAACUCAAUUGUGGGCGUGCGGGCGAUACGGGCAGACUGGAGUACUGCAGGGGAGACUGGAAUUCCUGGUGUAGCGGUGGAAUGCGCAGAUAUCAGGAGGAACACCGGUGGCGAAGGCGGGUCUCUGGACAGUUCCUGACACUGAGACACGAAGGCCAGGGGAGCAAACGGG